AGAGUUUGAUCCUGGCUCAGGAUGAACGCUAGCUACAGGCUUAACACAUGCAAGUCGAGGGGCAGCAUGGUCUUAGCUUGCUAAGACUGAUGGCGACCGGCGCACGGGUGAGUAACACGUAUCCAACCUGCCGUCUACUCUUGGACAGCCUUCUGAAAGGAAGAUUAAUACAAGAUGGCAUCAUGAGUCCGCAUGUUCACAUGAUUAAAGGUAUUCCGGUAGACGAUGGGGAUGCGUUCCAUUAGAUAGUAGGCGGGGUAACGGCCCACCUAGUCUUCGAUGGAUAGGGGUUCUGAGAGGAAGGUCCCCCACAUUGGAACUGAGACACGGUCCAAACUCCUACGGGAGGCAGCAGUGAGGAAUAUUGGUCAAUGGGCGAGAGCCUGAACCAGCCAAGUAGCGUGAAGGAUGACUGCCCUAUGGGUUGUAAACUUCUUUUAUAAAGGAAUAAAGUCGGGUAUGCAUACCCGUUUGCAUGUACUUUAUGAAUAAGGAUCGGCUAACUCCGUGCCAGCAGCCGCGGUAAUACGGAGGAUCCGAGCGUUAUCCGGAUUUAUUGGGUUUAAAGGGAGCGUAGAUGGAUGUUUAAGUCAGUUGUGAAAGUUUGCGGCUCAACCGUAAAAUUGCAGUUGAUACUGGAUAUCUUGAGUGCAGUUGAGGCAGGCGGAAUUCGUGGUGUAGCGGUGAAAUGCUUGGAUAUCACGAAGAACUCCGAUUGCGAAGGCAGCCUGCUAAGCUGCAACUGACAUUGAGGCUCGAAAGUGUGGGUAUCAAACAGGAUUAGAUACCCUGGUAGUCCACACGGUAAACGAUGAAUACUCGCUGUUUGCGAUAUACGGCAAGCGGCCAAGCGAAAGCGUUAAGUAUUCCACCUGGGGAGUACGCUGGCAACGGUGAAACUCAAAGGAAUUGACGGGGGCCCGCACAAGCGGAGGAACAUGUGGUUUAAUUCGAUGAUACGCGAGGAACCUUACCCGGGCUUAAAUUGCAGAUGAAUUACGGUGAAAGCCGUAAGCCGCAAGGCAUCUGUGAAGGUGCUGCAUGGUUGUCGUCAGCUCGUGCCGUGAGGUGUCGGCUUAAGUGCCAUAACGAGCGCAACCCUUGUUGUCAGUUACUAACAGGUUCUGCUGAGGACUCUGACAAGACUGCCAUCGUAAGAUGUGAGGAAGGUGGGGAUGACGUCAAAUCAGCACGGCCCUUACGUCCGGGGCUACACACGUGUUACAAUGGGGGGUACAGAGGGCCGCUACCACGCGAGUGGAUGCCAAUCCCCAAAACCUCUCUCAGUUCGGACUGGAGUCUGCAACCCGACUCCACGAAGCUGGAUUCGCUAGUAAUCGCGCAUCAGCCACGGCGCGGUGAAUACGUUCCCGGGCCUUGUACGCACCGCCCGUCAAGCCAUGGGAGCCGGGGGUACCUGAAGUGCGUAACCGCGAGGAGCGCCCUAGGGUAAAACUGGUGACUGGGGCUAAGUCGUAACAAGGUA
rnacentral:rRNA from 1 species